GGGCGCUUGGUCUAGGGGUAUGAUUUUCGUUUCGCACAAUGCUUCCAAGCAGCAUGGGUAUAUGAAAGGUCAUGGGUUCAAUUCCCAUAGCGUCCA
rnacentral:tRNA from 1 species